UUAUCUUUCUGUGCUUCCUAAAAUGUCUUAAUGAGGGGUCUGACAUGAAAACACUUCACUGGUUUCUAAUUUAGAUGCAUUUAUUAGUUUUAAAUAGCACAGGGAAUGAAGAUUCCAAGCUUGCUCUUUAGAGGGAGCGAUCAGUGGGCUCAGGACAUUGUCUGCACUGCACUGAGCACCUCGGUUUUAAAAGUGGGUCUUUCAAAUCCUGCUUCUCAUCCUACUAAUCAUCAACAAUCCCAUUGCUGUUCCUGCCCUGAACCUGAUUUCAGCACAGAAGUGUUUGUGCUGCACUGUGUUUCAGUCAUUUUAGUGAGAUUCUAAACUGCUUUGGAGAACUGCUUUAACUGACUUCGAUUGAUUGUUUAUUAUCCCCCGAUCAUAAAUGCUAAGUACAUAGCUGAGAUGGGCUUGUCUUUAUUGCCAUACUGUCACAUAGAAAUGUAGAAAAUUAAUUUUUUUAUGAUUUCAAUCAAUUUCCUUUGUACAGUGAUUGCAGAGAAAAGAUUAUUCCUUCCAGUGCGGUUAAAUGCGAGAGCCUGCUUUACAAAAGCAACCAAAUCAAGAGAAAAAUCUUGGCAUCCUGAAGUUGUGACCUAAUUCUAUCCUUCACUGCAUUUCCUCCUCUCUCCAAAACAUCCAUUUGUGUGACUACUGCUGGAGGAAGAACUUCAUAUGCUGUAUCGAGACACAGACACAGGAUGUUUCUGCUAAGCCCAUGGGCUGUUCUACUGAAACAAAGAUCUAUUUUCUUCAGUGGUAAGGAGACUCAUGAAAACUAAAACCUCUUGGAGUCUGUUUCUGUGACAAGGUUGCUCAAAGUCCAUGUAUCCACAAAUAGUUAAGGCACCCAAGGACGAUGCUUACAAAUGGAUAAUCCAGUCCAUUGGCUCUGUGGAAGCAAACCAACAACCACUGCCCUACACCAUGCACACCUACAGCAAAGUGCCCAUCCAGACAGACUUCUCCUGUGUUUGUCCUGUAGCACAGUGAAUGUGACAUUAUGUGCAACAGCUGCGGCACAGGGGACAGGCUGGAGCAGUGGGCAGCAGCAGUGAAAGGCACAGGAUGAAUUGCUGUCUCAGCCAGGCAGGAAGACGGGCAGCCAAGAAAGGCAAGGUGCCAGAUAAUGAUCUGUGUGCUUGCUGACGGCUACCAAGACUGGGACUUUGCCUGUGGAGCCCUUCCCAGAUAAAAGGAAAGCAUGACUACAUAGUAAGACUUGAGGAGGAGGCCAUAAGCAGCAACAAAUCCUCCUGCUCCUCUGCACAAAUAAUGAUGACAACAGCCAAAGCCUGGAAAAUAGGAAUGAAGGCAUAUUUCUGUGUUUCUGAAGAAGUUGUAAGAACAUAAGGAGCAGGUCUGCUGGGGGAUAUCAACUGACUUGCUGUGGCAAGGAUUCAUCUCAUUAAAAUGUGCUUUAGAAGUCACGAGCACCACGGCUUUGACUAUCAGGACAACAAACGUCUUGGAGCACCGAUUUGACGGUCCCCUUGGAACGUUGGCAAUGUCCGGUAGAUGGCAGCAAACAGCACUCCAGGGAGCAGGAGCACCUCGAGGUGACAGCCUGCGAGCUGCUCCAGCGGCCCCAGUGCUGGCAAUUAUAUGGGGUUUUAUCUUCUACCCUGAAUGAAAUAAGCUCAUUUAUUUGGUUCCUUGCAGGGAGGCAGCGAGAACAAAGCCGCAGGGGACCUUCACAAUGCUGCACUCAACCGAUGAGUGACAUGGUAAAAAUAUAGUAGCACUUUCACUCACCCUUUUCAUCAAAUUUGGAAUGAUCUGAAUCAUUUAUUUCCCCAAAUGAAGGCUAUCACUAUAGGUCCUUUUGCAUAAAUCAAGAAGGCCAUUAAAAAUAGUUUCAGGAGGAGAGCAAUUUGUUAUGAAAUGAAGGUCAAUCUCAUUAGAUCACUGUAGCAGCUAUCCUAAUAACAUCCUGGCAGAAAUGAGGUAUCUCAUUACAGAAGUUGUAUUUUGUUUGAAAUAUUACAUUGUCAUUAAGUGAGCACUAAAACACACAUAAUAUUGGGUGACAUAAAGUAUUCCCCUGAAAAAUUGGCCUACACAGAGGUGCUAAGUCAAUAAUGAGGACACUACAUUAAGCUUAACUUUUUCUGUUUUUUUUCUAGCUGGAUUCACCUGCUCGAUACCAGUUUGUUUUGUUCCUACUUCAGGACACUGAGCCACACUUGGCUUGCUAGAACUAUACAGAGGGAUGAUUUCAGACUGCAACUCAGCUACCUAUAACUGGUAAGGAAGAUGUUUAAUUUUCCUUGGAACAGUUGAGGACGGAGGACUAAGUCCCAUCAGCUGGGAAACACCAAAAUUUAGAUGGAAAAAGGGACAUUUACAGAGUACAGAAGUGAACAUUGGUUUUAUAAAUACAAAAGAAGGAGUUACUUUCCCUUUAAUUAUCCAUACUCAUGUGGAAAGUACCAAGUGUGGUUUUACAGAUUACUCUACUGGAACCACAGCUGAAUAUAGGGAUGUGUUUAAACACAGCUCUGGAGCUAUGUCAUGGCACUUAACACCUGGCAGGAUUAUGUUGAGGAUCUACUCCAAGCUAGUCGAUGAUAUUCAUAAAGGUAUCACCCUGAUCACUCCAAGUGGGAUAGGCAGAAUAUCCAAGGGAGGGUGCUCAACAGGUACAGCAGUCCUGCUUUCCAGAAACUCCAGACCUCCUAGGUGUCAACUAAAGACUCAAAACAUACCUGUGAGGUACACCAAAAGCCUUGAGAAAUCAUGCAGAAAUCAGAAAAUGAGGUUACAUGAAUUUCCCAGUACCAAGAAGUGAAUCCAGGCAAGGUUCUUCAUGCAUGGAGUAUGUGCUUUAACGGCGAUACCCUCUUUCCUCUCAGUAUAAUAGGAUUAACCAUUAGUAAACUGCAAAGAUUGUUGUUAAAUGGUGUGUGUGCAAACACAGAUGCUAAAUCUUAGAGCAGCCCACAAUGGCUACAGAUGGCACCAAGAGAACAGUUUGGUAACACUGUUUUGCAGCAGUAAAGGCAGCCCUGCUAACUAGUUUGUGCCUAGAGCUUGGGGGUUUUAGGGGGGUUGGGUGUAGGGUUUAAGAUUUAUCAGUUUUCCAAAGAUAGAGAAAUACCAGUUAUGAGAAUGACAUAUUUUAAUGAUAUCUUUUUCAAAAGCACUCCACUGCAGACUCUACAAUGAACUCUGACAACAGUACCUACUGUCUGAGGCAGGGAGGCUGCACAGCACCUUACAGAGAUGCCCAAAUUCCCUCUGUUCCCUGAGCCAUGCCCCUAGGGUGUACAUAACCAAAAGGAAGUCAUCAUACCCAUCGUGUAAUGGGGACACAGGGACAUGCAUGUUGGAUUAUGUGCCCAUGCAGUGCUUCUACAGGCCAAAGUGUAAGGAAGCCUAUUUAUCCUGCCUGUCACUGACUCACUGUCUUACCUUUACACCAGCUUUAUAACCUUCUGUUUUCUUUGGGAAACACUUUCUUAGUAGGUAAAAAACUUAAAUAGCCAGGGUGAGAGAGUCAUGAGUUGGAUUGAAGUGAAGGCUGUAAAAGAGAAAAGGCAAUACAGAAUAUGUGCAAGGAACAGACAUGGCACAGUACAAACAGCACAAAAGCUUACAGAAGAUGACCUUAACAGCUGAAUUUUGAACAAGAAUCGAACAGCACAUGAUGAUGGUUUAUAUGGUAUCUGUUUACAGCAUGUUAAAUUCAUACAAGUGGAAAUGAUUUGACAGACUGUAUGUCUUUCAUCAUUCUUGAGUGAUGUGGGUUUAGUUAAUAGCAGUAAGUGCACUGGAAAUCUGUAAGAAAUCAUGCACACCUUUGGCUGAGAGUUGCAGGGAACAGUAAUGGUUUAGAUUCAGGAGAGCUCAUCUGGCCAAACACCUAAGCUGCUCAUUCAGGGUCCUCCAUGCUCAGUGGAUUGAAAGGUAUCCCUUAAGGAUGUGAUCCAUUUCAUCCCAAAUACAUUCUUUAGGAUGGGAUGAAGCAUCCAUUCAUUUUCCACUGAUUACAGAAGCAAUGUGGGGAGGCAGCCUACACUGCCAGUCAAGACUAGACAGAAACUGAAUAUCAGGUAACAUGAAACGCAUUCCAGGUUCUUGAAAGAAGUGAAGUCUGAGAAGCAUUUCUGCUUGCCCACUGUUCAUUUCUACCUAUGCAUGGCCCCGAUGGGUGGGCUGUUGCACAUUCUCUUGGGGAACGUUCAGUGAACAGACUGGGGAAAAAUCCAGGGUAAAAAUACAACCUUUUUUCUCGAGUUGUUUUUCUUUUUUUUACCAUAAUCUGCUCCUGCCCCUUGGUAGCCAUGGUUACUCGAAUACGUAUACUGGUAACUUUGUUACUGCCACGGGAAGAAGGGUUAGGGAGAAGGGAGAAGCUAGCAGAAGGCUGCUGAAGCUGACAGUGCUGCAGAGAGGGAAAUCCCACCAAACUGUGCUCUGAGAUUUCACAAACCUUUCCUUUGCAGCAGUUCUGAUUUAAGAAGUCCCCAUCCCCCAGUCACUGCAGCAGCACCCAGCUCUUUGUGAGUAAAAAAGCAUCACCCUCUCUUCAAAUAUGUGCCCUGGCCCAACUGGAAAGGGAGUGGGGCAGUGCGGGGACAGGAGCACACGCCCGCAGGUGUGGAGACAGAAGGGCUUUGUUAGCAGGCUCUGCUGCCAAAGGACAAGUCAUGUCACACUGAAGCCAUUUUCCAGGAUAUAGAUCCUGAAAAAUGAGUCAACUGGAGCUGGCAGAGAGCUCACACAGAAGAUGUAAUGUUGGGGGAGUGUGGAGGGAGAAAGUGCUAUUUGUAGUUUGAAGACUCCAAAGAACAGAAGGGACGGUGCUGUGAUUUCUCCCUUUUCCACACAGCAUGAAAUGGAUAAACUGCAUAGAUUCAGUUGCUCUCCAGCAUUAGAAAAGACUUUGCAGACAACCUGCACCUACUUCUUAAUAUAAACAAAGUUAGUGUGCCUCUGGGGAAGCUGUCAAUAGCAGUGACAUGUUUUUAAUCGGAUUUUUUUCAUAUCUUGCUUUUUGACUAUACUACUCCAGUACAUCAGUAUGCAGAAUCUUUCAGAUUCUCACAUCAGGCUUUUAGCUUCAAACUGUAGUGCUUUGGUCUCCCUCCAGCAUGCCAGCACUUACCAUGACACCCCAAUGCCUGUUAUCAAAUGCAUGUUAGGAUACACCAUCUUAGAGCAUACAAACAUUCUGCAUGUCAUCCAGUGUAUUUGAGCAAGAAUGUAUUAUUACACAAUUAGUUCAUUAAAAUUAUAUUUAAAUGAUGCAUAUAUAAGUGUGCAUGUUUUUAUUAUUGAAAAUUAUAUUUUAUGUAGGCCAAGUCAAAUGAUAGCUGAUAUAAAGAAAAUAAGCUAAUCUCAA